UACGGAGGGUGCGAGCGUUGCUCGGAAUCACUGGGCGUAAAGCGUACGCAGGCUGUUUCGUAAGUCGGGUGUGAAAGCCCGGGGCUUAACCCCGGAAUUGCGCCCGAGACUGCGGAGCUUGAAUGCGGGAGAGGGAAGCGGAAUUCCUGGUGUAGAGGUGAAAUUCGUAGAUAUCAGGAGGAACACCGGUGGCGAAAGCGGCUUCCUGGCCCGACAUUGACGCUCAUGUACGAGAGCGUGGGGAGCAAACAGG
rnacentral:rRNA from 1 species